rnacentral:rRNA from 1 species
UGAGCAAUCUGCCCUUCUCAUCGGAAUAAGCGUUGGAAACGAUGUCUAAUGCCGAAUACGACCUCCUUUCGCAUGAUCGGAGGUGGAAAGCUCCGGCGGAGAAGGAUGAGCUCGCGGCCUAUCAGCUAGUUGGUGUGGGUAAUGGCCCACCAAGGCGACGACGGGUAGCCGGCCUGAGAGGGUGACCGGCCACACUGGGACUGAGACACGGCCCAGACUCCGUAGGGAGG